UCAAGGAAAUUAAAAGAAAUUAAACCAGCCUAAGCAUUAUAAGGCUUGUCAUUCCCAUCUACAGAUUGCCCUCAAAGUCUAAGGCCCAAAAGGGACCUAAACAUUGCAAAGCCAAGGCUGAGGAGCGGGGAUGCAUGAUCGAAUCUAUACCAAAGCAGAACCAAUAUUUGCACUCAGAAAUAAAAAAUAAACCUAAUGGACCUUCAGCAGUACAUAAUGGCUUAAUACACAAAGAAAAGCUUGAAUGCUGUUGACUCUCAUUACAUUCCCAAAAACAACACAGUCUCGAAUUCAAUUGUAUUGAUAACAGAAAUAUCAAGUAUUCAUGCUUUAAUUCAAUUCUAAGCUAACUCACAAAUAAACAUAUAAAAUUUAACCUCAUCUAAAUCCUUUCUCAAUACCAACAGUAACAGAAUCCAAAAAUUAACGUAUCACUCACUUGAAUCCAAAAAUCAUACUCAAACCCUCACAGAAUCAACUCGACAAGCAAACAUUGAUUCACUUUACAACAUUUUAAUAACAUGAGAAAGGCUAAACUAAACAUGCAUAAUAUAGGAUUUACAUACAGAAUACUACAGAAAUGAAAGAAUCAGAAGAAAUAAAACUCAAAACACAACUUGUAUUCAAUCAGGUUUCCACUCGAAAUACAUAUUCACAUUCACUUGUUGUCCAAUGGUUUGAAAAAUACCUGGAAUGCAAUAGGAAAAACAAAGAGAAAUGAGGAGUUAGCAGCAGUAGCAACACCAACUCAAAAACCCAGCAAUAUCAAAUGAAAAACCAGCUUCUUCCAGCCAAUAGAGAACCCGAAUGAACAACAAACUUUUGAAUCUCAAAACCCUGAUUAGCUAAGAAAUUUCAAGGCAGAAUUGAACCAGUUUUCACCAAAGAAAUGCAUGGAUUUCAGUGUUAUUUCAAAGUUUUUAAAGCUUAGCCGUUUUUAAUUUUUCAGUAUUUUUCA
rnacentral:lncRNA from 1 species